GGGGAGAUAGCAUUGGGGUUCUGCAGAAGACUUUCAUGCUUGAGGUUCCAGGUUCAAUCCCUGGUGCCCCCA
rnacentral:tRNA from 1 species